CGCCCGUCGUUAUUUCAGAUGGUCAUAGGGAUGAAGAGCUUCGGCUCUGAAUAUCUAUGGCUAGAUAAAGUACAAGUCGUAACAAGGUUUCAGUUGGAGAACCAGCUGAAGGAUCAUUUUCAGUUUUUGGGGUGUGGGUAUCGGAAUGUGUGGUAGGUGAUGUGUGUGUGUAUGGGGGAUGC
rnacentral:rRNA from 1 species